GGAACCGUGCCCGAAUAAUUAGGGAUUACUUUGAUAGAGUAAACAAUAGGGGUUAAAGUCCCCUCAGUUCUU
rnacentral:tRNA from 1 species